rnacentral:tRNA from 3 species
GGCGAAGUAGCUCAGUUGGUUAGAGCAAACGGUUCAUACCCGUUAGGUCGCCGGUUCGAGUCCGGCCUUCGCUACCA